GUGGGAUUUGAUGAUGCCACUGACUUUGGGUCAUAUCUGCUCCUGUAAGUCAUCUCACACCCAUAUUCCUGUAAAAUUUUGUCAUACAACACAGGCCUACUGUGAAAUGAUGGUCAGAAACAAAGAAAUUAAUGUACCUCCAGGGAGAUCACAAACAGUCACGGAAAUAUGGUAUUAUACAAGAGGCAAAAAUCAGCCAUCAAUGGCUAUAAGCCUAGAUAUACAAGACAGCUUAUUAAAUUUGAAGAAAUUGCAGAGAUGCAAUUUAUAGACUAAUCAGAAUGAAAUCAUAAACAGAUUGAAGUAAUAAAAGGACAAACAAAUCUCAGAGCUGAAAAACACAAUGAAUGAAAUUAAGAUUCAAUAAGAAAGAGAAGCAGCAUUGAUCAAGCAGAAAGAAAAAGUGAAAUUGAAGACAGGAAAUUGGAGUGAAGUGGAUGAGACUGAAUGAAGAGGGAGGGGAAACCUGAAGAAAGAAGGAGAAAAGAUUGAAGGGAUAAAGAAAAAGAGGAAGAUUAUUCAAAGUAAUAACAUCAUAUAACUUUCCAACCGUGGCUGAAAGUAUAAAUAUCAAGGUGCAGGAAGGUAAAAAAACCACAGAUUCAAGUCAAGUAAGACUACCUAAAAUCAUACGGUAAUAAAUUCUAAGUAAUUCAA